rnacentral:rRNA from 1 species
GAUGAACGCUGGCGGCGUGCCUAAUACAUGCAAGUCGAGCGAACAGACGAGGAGCUUGCUCCUCUGACGUUAGCGGCGGACGGGUGAGUAACACGUGGAUAACCUACCUAUAAGACUGGGAUAACUUCGGGAAACCGGAGCUAAUACCGGAUAAUAUAUUGAACCGCAUGGUUCAAUAGUGAAAGACGGUCUUGCUGUCACUUAUAGAUGGAUCCGCGCCGCAUUAGCUAGUUGGUAAGGUAACGGCUUACCAAGGCGACGAUGCGUAGCCGACCUGAGAGGGUGAUCGGCCACACUGGAACUGAGACACGGUCCAGAGUCCUACGGGAGGCAGCAGUAGGGAAUCUUCCGCAAUGGGCGAAAGCCUGACGGAGCAACGCCGCGUGAGUGAUGAAGGUCUUCGGAUCGUAAAACUCUGUAAUUAGGGAAGAACAAAUGUGUAAGUAACUAUGCACGUCUUGACGGUACCUAAUCAGAAAGCCACGGCUAACUACGUG